UACGGAGGGGGCUAGCGUUGUUCGGAAUUACUGGGCGUAAAGCGCACGUAGGCGGCUUUGUAAGUUAGAGGUGAAAGCCCAGGGCUCAACCCUGGAAUUGCCUUUAAGACUGCAUCGCUAGAAUUGUGGAGAGGUAAGUGGAAUUCCGAGUGUAGAGGUGAAAUUCGUAGAUAUUCGGAAGAACACCAGUGGCGAAGGACGACUUACUGGACACAUAUU
rnacentral:rRNA from 1 species